rnacentral:rRNA from 1 species
UGAGUUUGAUCUGGCUCAGGACGAACGCUGGCGGCGUGCCUAAUACAUGCAAGUUGAGCGCUGAAGGUUGGUACUUGUACCAACUGGAUGAGCAGCGAACGGGUGAGUAACGCGUGGGGAAUCUGCCUUUGAGCGGGGGACAACAUUUGGAAACGAAUGCUAAUACCGCAUAAAAACUUUAAACACAAGUUUUAAGUUUGAAAGAUGCGAAUUGCAUCACUCAAAGAUGAUCCCGCGUUGUAUUAGCUAGUUGGUGAGGUAAAAGGCUCACCAAAGGCGAUGAUACAUAGCCGACCUGAGA